UGUAGGCUAUCUGCAGACGGAUUUGCUGCACUUGCAGCACUUCUCUUUCCAACCGAGCUGAAUAAAUCCUAUUAGUGCAGAGUUUCUUUCUGUUUGAGAGUCUGGGCGUCAAAAAGUCCCCAUGCACUCCUUCUUACAUGUGCUCCUGCUCCUCUUCACAAAGACGUUCAGCAACUAACCGACCCUGAGGUUCGAACAGCUUCUCAAGCAGAUAAUUACGCACACUAAACGGGAUCUUGUGCUGCGGUGCACCUGCAUCGAAACUACAAGGAGUCUUUUCCAGACAGGUGUAAAUGUCUCCUAAACACCACGAGAAGAAACACAUUCACUUCAGAGGUCUGCGCUAGCCUGUCGGGUUAGUGUGGAGCUGAAAAGCGCGGUGGAAGUCACUUUACCUGCUAUUCCUUGAGUUUGCAGAAUGAAGUUCUUCCAACUCUCCCCGGCUCCAUGUGCAGAAGGUCUCAGCGCCGCGGCGGCCCCAUGGAGCUGCGCCCUGAGUCCCUCCCCUCUCCACUGCACUUCCUCGUUCCAGCCCAACAUGACUAUGUCUCUGAGCUCGACUGGGGCAUUUUGCUUGCUUUUAUCCACAGGCCGAGUCUGCGGCGGGGAGUCGAGCCACCGAGCCCUUGGCACUUGCUUUGUGCCGUGCCAAUAGAAGCUGACACCCAGUAGACCAUUACUGGCAGCCAUGCAUGAGAUGGGAUGAGGCGCGCGAGGAGAGUGGACCAUUCAUUGUUUAUUUAUUUCAUUCUCACCGAGGAAACAGACGGGGGGAGCUCCUUACUUGCAUAUUGGACAGCUCCCCUUCUGUCACCUGUUCUGGCACACUGAAGCAGUCCAUGAAAUUAAGAGAACUGUUUUCUUUCCAAUGUAAUGACUUUUUUUUCUUUAAUGUUUCAUCCUUUUGACUUCGCUCUCACUCUGCAGUGAUUGUCCCCUGUGUGCCAAAGCCUCCCCUGUCCUCUCCAUCACACCAGCAGAGUCCACAAUGUAGAUAAUGUCUGAACUUCAGCAAUUUGCUCCUUUUUCAACAUUUUUUCUGAAUGUAUCCUCACUUCAUCAUCAUCAUCAUCAUCAUCAUUGUGCAGACAUUCAUCAUUAACACAGAUAAUGUGGUUGUCCUCUGGUUUGUAUUACAAACCUUGUGCCACUGACUCUGAGUCCAGAUAGAGCUGAACUUUUAAAGUCCUUCACGUUUAUUCAAAACUGACUUGAAAUAAGACUUUGGGAAUAAAUGAGUAAACAGUCGCUGCACUCUGAACCAGCGGUACUGCACAUAUUCUAUACAUAUACUGAACCAUGCAGCUCUUCAUCUCCCUAUCACUCGUGCAGAUAGCAUGAACAUCCAUUGUAAUGAUACUUGAGCACAGCGCAGCAGCAGCCACGUUUCACUGUGCAGAACCUUUUGCGAUGUUAAAUAACCACCUUCCAAUCUCCCUGUAAUCAACCCUAAGUGUCAGUCUCUCUUACGGUUCUGUAAUUUAAGCCACGGACUGAUGGAUGCCUAUGCAAUUCUGAAAAUCAAAUUGAAAUGUUGGAUUAAUAUUGAUGGAAAUUCUAAAUAAAUAAUGAGUGCCACUGCUGGUUUGGUUAAUAUAA